AUUCAUCCCACUCUUCAUCAACCUACGUACCAUUGUCAUGGCCUCCUGCAUGCCCAUAAACGAGCCCAGCCUGUAGCACUGCCCAACACACUGCUGGACCUCUUGAUGCAUAUCCAGGAGGUCAUGUGCUUUCUACUAAACAGCCACUGACAGGAUAACUUCGCAUCUAUCAGCCUUCACGGCAUCUGAUCAGGGACUCUUGAGCACUUCUGCAAAGGCCUACAACAUAGAGUCACUCCCACGACAUACUAAGUUUCAAGGUUUUCCUACCCAAUACCCAGGUGAUGCACAACUGUUGGGACGAGCUGGAGGAUAGGCCACUGAGGACAAUGCAUUCUCCUUGAAACUGUGCGCCAUCCACCCAGCCUUCAAGCACGUGAUCAGGUACUCCUGCAUUCUUCUGCAGAGGAUGGCUCUCAUGACACUGCUAAACCUAAAGCCCUUCCUAUCCAAAAUUCAGGUGCUAGACAACCAUUUGGACUACCUCGAGGAUAGUUCAUUCUCUUUAAGACUGUACACCAUUCAUACAUGCAGGAUCUACCACAUUCUAGCAAUCACAUAGCAUUGCACUCUACACUGCUCGAGCUCAUUCUUUUCCUGUUCUUCAUCCUGAGGCACUUCAGCAUCCGGCCACACAGUUAUUGUGAGGACCUGGAGUACAUCCUGUUCUCUAUCAGCCUAUAGACUAUAGGGUGAUUAGGGAUACCAGUGUGUCUCUGAAGAGGCCCAGAAAAUGGAAAAACAAGAUGGGCCUGGUUUGAGGCACUGCCAGUUCCUGCUACACAGCAGCAGGAAAUGGAUGGCAAUGCACUCUCCUUCAGAUUAUAUACACUUAUCAGCCAUAACAUUACGACCACGUGCCUAAUAGCCGGUAUCUCAGCCGUUGGAUCGGAUAACAGAGGCGACAUAUCAUGGUAUGGAAACAGUGAGGCAUUGGUAGGUCAUUGGAGGGAGUUGACACCACAUCUCGACACUCCAGUCACCUAAUUAUCACAAAUUCCAAGAAGGCCGGCGAUGAGGUCUGACGCCACGUUCAGUGACAUACUAGGUACGUUUGGGCGAGUUAUUGCGCCAGCACAUCAAUUUGAGCUCACAACUGUGUUCCUCAAACCACUCCACCACACUCUUGGCCUUUUGACAUGGCGCAUUAUCUUGUUGAAAAAUGCCACUGCUGUCAGGAAACAUGAUCGUCACAAAGAGAUGUACAUGGACUACAACCAGUGUAUGAUACUCCUUGGUCGUCAUGGUGUCUUGCACAAGGUCCAUUGAACCCAUGGAUGCCUAUAUGAACGUUCUCCAGAGCAUAGUGGCGUCGCUGCCAGCAUGUCUCUGUCCCACAGUAUAGGCAUCAACGAGCUGUUCUCCUGGAAGAUGGGCCAGCGGGGGUGGCCGAGCGCUUCUAGGCGCUACAGUCUGGAACCGCGCGACCGCUACGGUCGCAGGUUCGAAUCCUGCCUCGGGGUCCUUAGGUUAGUUAGGUUUAAGUAGUUCUAAGUUCUAGAGGACUGAUGACCUCAGCAGUUAAGUCCCAUAGUGCUCCGAGCCAUUUGAACCUGGAAGACACUGAUGAACACUCUCCCAUUGGCAUGAUGAAGAAGGUAUCAGGAUUUAUCAGGCCAUGCUGUGCUCCAACACUGCGCCAAUGUCAAGUACCAAUAGUCAUGUGUCCAUUUCAUUUGUAACUGUCAAUGUUGUGGUUCAAAUGGUUCAAAUGGCUCUGAGCACUAUGGGACUUAACAUCUAUGGUCAUCAGUCCCCUAGAACUUAAAACUACUUAAACCUAACUAACCUAAGGACAUCACACAACACCCAGUCAUCACAAGGCAGAGAAAAUGUGUGGUGUUAACAUUGGCAUAUGCAUUGGUUGUCAGCUGUGGAGACCCACCGUUAGGAGUGUUCAGUGGACUUAGACACUUGUUCUCUACUCAGUAUUAAAGUCAGAUGUUAGUCCCACCUUUAUUAUUUUUCCCGGCUGGUCAUCCUACGAUGUUCGACAUAUGUGAUGAGGGUUGGUCGCCAAUUUUCAGGAAGUUGGGAUGUGGUUUCACCUUGUUUUCACCAGAUGUUGAAAUACUGACUGCAGCACUCCUCGAACACCAGACAAGUCAGGCACUUUCCAAGCAGACAGAUCGCUUGCCUUCCUCAUUCUUCACAUGAACAGCAUACUCAUACUCCAUGCACCAUGUGUGUGUCAGCCUAGCAGUCAUUCAUCACCAGGAGACGCUGCUAUUGCCUCGAGGGGUUUAUAUCAAUAGUAAAUCAGUGAUGAUUAUGUUCUACCUGAUCAAUGUUUAAUCCAUUCAAUCAGGGUCUCUUGUUUGCCUGUGCAGGGUCUCAUCACAUAGAGCACCCUCCAAAUAACUAGACCCGUCAGUCUCCAUAGCCAGUACCCAGAGGAGACUUUGUUUCCUGCUACAUGCUCACUGGAAGGAUAAUAAAAUUUUAUCACCAUAUAGAUCAUCUAUCUGAUAACCGUCUCGUUUGUUCCUUCGAAAAGCCUAAUAUCAUCACUGUCCAUUCUGCAGAAGUUUAAGUUCUUCCUGGCUAAUAUUUGGAGUGUUUCCCUUUACUACAACAGGUCUUUUGGGACGACAUGGCAUACAAUGCAUUCUCCACUGGGAUACAUAACAUCCAGUUAAUCAGUCUUGAGAUGCUUAGGCCCACAAUAACAAACACUGAUGCUGGUCAGAGUCUUCCUGGCCAGUGGCCGAAGGUACAUCCGCUUCCUGCUGUGCAGCUGCUGGAAUAGGCCUGGCAGUCAAUGUACCCACUAUCAGACAGUACACUAUCCAGCUGAUGAUCAGGGCCUCCUGUAUGUCGCUUAUGCAAGAACCCAGUGUAAGCUGUCCAUGCAGGUUGAGUCUUUUGCAUACUUCUAUACGAGCCCACUGCAUACCAUAACACUCCACACUAUUAGAACUCAGGGUCUUCCUGGCCACCAUCGUGAAGCGCUCCCACUUCCUGCCACACUGGUGCUGAGAUGAUCUGCACCACAAUGCCCACUCAGUGCCCUACACCCUGGUCAACCAGGGCUUCCUUCAUGUCUCUGGAGGAUCCCAGCAUAUACUACCACCAUUCGCACGGAUGGAGCUGAAGGUCUUGCUGGUCAUUGUCAGGAGGUAAUUUUGCUUUCUGCUGCAGAGCAGCUAGAAUGAUGUAGGGGACAGUGCACCGCCUGCUAGCCUCCACACUGUCCACCACAUGUCUCUGCAGGUGCCCCCAACAGGCAGCACCUAUGACUGCUGUCCACACUGAUGGGCAACAAGCUGCAGCUUAUCUGAUGAGUGGUUUCUGAUGAGCACUUCGAAUUGAGAUUUCUCUAUUGAGAUCACAUACUGAUCUAUAUAUGCAAUAAUUUGUUGAUACUCCAAUUUUAUUGUGUAAAAUAUCGCUUCUGUUGUUAAUGUUUGUCUUCUGACGAAGUGUAGAACUGUUUCUCUUAUUGGUGUGUAUGGGUAUUGUCUAGGUUGUAAUUACUAAGAUAAUCUGGAAGCAUUAUUCUCUACGAAAAGUAAUGCUAUGGCUAAUUAGGGAUAUAUUUUAUCUAUGUAAUAUUUUGUCAAUGUUGAUUAUAUUUGGUGGAGAAACAAGAUAAUAUGCAUUGCUGUGUCAGGAAUAGGACGUGACAAUAUAUAUAGAGCGCUAUGUGGAUAUUAUGAUAUGACCGUUUUGAGUAUUUUGCUAAGUGAAAGCGACAUGAAGACUGUGGUAUGCUGCAUUAUAAUGCAAAUGGAAGUUACUGCUUGCUUAAACUCAACUACUAUUAAAAGAGUGUGCUGGUGCACUUGAGCUGUGCGGGAGAUGGAAUUUUGAUAAGAGGGAAUUGUUAAUAAGAACUGUGUGAAAUGUAUUAGUUAAAUCCUGAAACUGUAAUUUUGUUCCUCAGAGAUUUUAAGCAAUCAACUUUUCUGUGAGCAUUGAAAUGAAGUUCAGGCAGACAAUAUCUGACCGAUUGUAUGGGCCAUUCGCUCAUUUUGCACUUUGUGUGUGUGUGUGUGACCUAAAAUAAAUGUACACAAUUUAAUAAAAUAAACCUGGAAAUUGUGUGUGCUGUUGACAGUA